UACGAAGGGGGCUAGCGUUGCUCGGAAUUACUGGGCGUAAAGCGCACGUAGGCGGUCUUUAAGUCGGGGUGAAAUCCUGGAGCUCAACUCCAGAACUGCCUUCGAUACUGGAAGACUUGAGUCCGGGAGAGGUGAGUGGAACUGCGAGUGUAGAGGUGAAAUUCGUAGAUAUUCGCAAGAACACCAGUGGCGAAGGCGGACUCACUGGCCCGGUACUCGGACGC
rnacentral:rRNA from 1 species